AAAGCAUAUGGCUUCCCCCAAAGAGUCCUGGGAACUGUAGUUUGGUAAUUGUAGCUGUAUGGUGUUGAACUACAGUUACCAGGAUUCUUUGGAGGAAGCUAUGUGCUU